rnacentral:rRNA from 1 species
UACGGAGGGUGCGAGCGUUGUUCGGAAUUACUGGGCGUAAAGCGCACGUAGGCGGAUUUGUAAGUCAGGGGUGAAAUCCCGGGGCUCAACCUCGGAACUGCCUUUGAUACUGCAAAUCUCGAGUCCGGAAGAGGUGAGUGGAAUUCCUAGUGUAGAGGUGAAAUUCGUAGAUAUUAGGAAGAACACCAGUGGCGAAGGCGGCUCACUGGUCCGGUACUGACGCUGAGGUGCGAAAGCGUGGGGAGCAAACAGG